UGCACUCACUACUGUAAGUUGCUCUGGAUAAGAGCAUCUGCUAUAAAUACAUUAAA
rfam:Salmo salar isolate Sally breed double haploid chromosome ssa01, whole genome shotgun sequence.